UACGGAGGGGGCGAGCGUUGUCCGGAGUUACUGGGCGUAAAGGGCGCGCAGGCGGUCUGGCAAGUUUGGAGUGACAGUGCUCGGCUUAACUGAGCAAGGCCUUCGAAAACUGCUAGACUUGAGCACUCAAGAGGGACAUAGAAUUCCGGGUGGAGUGGUGAAAUGCGUAGAUAUCCGGAGGAAUACCAAAGGCGAAGGCAGUGUCCUGGGGAGUGUCUGACGCUCAGGCGCGAAAGCUAGGGGAGCGAACAGG
rnacentral:rRNA from 1 species